ACUUAAGUAGCUUAUUCUUUUUAAAGCUUUUCUUUGAAGAAGAAACGAAGUCCGCCCUUAAGUA
rnacentral:tRNA from 1 species